GUAAACCUACGGGAGGCAGCAGUGAGGAAUAUUGGUCAAUGGGCGGAAGCCUGAGCCAGCCACGGCGCGUGAGGGAAGAAGGCCCUGCGGGUCGCAGACCUCUUUGGACGGGGAGCAAGGCCGCCGACGUGUCGGCGGAAGGAGGGUACCCGUAGAACAAGCAUCGGCUAACUCCGUGCCAGCAGCCGCGGUAAUACGGAGGAUGCGAGCGUUAUCCGGAUUUAUUGGGUUUAAAGG
rnacentral:rRNA from 1 species